UGCCAACCAGGUGUCCACACUAAGUUCGGCACCAACAUGGUGACCUCCUGGGAGCAGGGGACCACCAGGUUGCCUAAGGGUGGGUGAACUGGCCCAGGUCAGAAAUGGAGCAGGUCGGAACUCCCAUGCCUAUUGGUAGUGGGACUGCACCUGGGCA
rnacentral:sRNA from 1 species